UAAAAAUGGGAGCUUCCCUGCAGACGCUUUCUUCUCGUCUGUCGCCAUGUGAGAUGUACCUUUCACUUUCCUCCAUGAUUGUGAGGCCUCCUUAGCCACAUGGAACUGCCCUGGCAAUCACUAUUCCAGUCUCUGCUUCUAUGAGUUUGACUAUUUCAGAUUCCACAUGUAGGAAAUGCUGGAGUCCUUCAUCCGAAUGGUAAAUGGCACUUGUGACAAAAAUCAAAGUAACUAAAAAAGAAUCUGGUUGAAACCUCAGUAACAGUUGGCCUGUCUACUGCCUCACACUAACAAGGGGGAGCUAAUAAAACCGAGGUUAGAACACACAAUGUGGAAAUGAAAACCUUAUUCUUGUCAAUGGAUGGAGGUGACCCCCACCUUUACAAGUGUCUGUAAUUCUCACUAGCAGUAUAUUAGAGGGCAAAAGAUUUGAACAGACACAUCAGAAAAGAAGACAUACAAAUGGCCGCUAAGCACUUGAAAGGAUUCUGAACACCAUUAGUCAUCAGUGAAAUGCAAAUUAAAGCCAUAAUGAAUGGCGCUAUACAUUUUCAGAAUGGCAAGGAUUGAAGACCGAAAAAAAUCAAGCGUUGAGGAGAGUGACAAAUGGGGAGACAGCCGUGGUGCAUGAUCGCCGAAUAAAUACCAUGUGAGGAUACAGCAAGAAGGUGGCCAUCUACAAGCCAAGGAGACAGGCCUCAGAAGAAACCAACCCUUCUUACACCCUGGACUCAGACUUCUAAUCUCCAGAACUUGUUAAUGCACAAGGUCUUGUGUUGAAAAUGUAGAGCCACGAGAUAAAAGCAGCUUGGAUGGCUGACUCAUAUACAAGGACAACUGCCUGAGAGUCACCAGGGCUAUCAAGAAGUUUGCAGAAACAAGAAAUAAACUUUUACUGUUUUAAACUUUUGUGAAUUUUGGGUUUUGUUUAUCACCAAAUAAACCUAGUCUAUUCUGAUUGUUAUAAGUGGUUAAUUUGGGAAGUCAGAUAUAUUUAAAAUUGGCUUACUGCUGUAACAUAUACAGUCCAAAUUACAUAAUGGCUCAAAUGCAAUAGAAGUCUUUUUUUUUUUUGCUCACAUAUCACUUCACUGAGAUUCUGCAUUAAUUGUAAUGAUGAGGGUGAGGGUGUCU
rnacentral:lncRNA from 1 species